rnacentral:lncRNA from 1 species
AUGUUUGGUGAACGGGCGCAGGAGCGUCAAGCGGACAAGCGGGCGGUGAACCACGUUUAAAAGGCCUACUUUGAAGGUAACAAGAUGGAUCUUGCGGAUGGCGAUCAAGCACAUGAUGAAGAACCGAACACUACAUUUCGAAGCUUCCGCAAUGUUUUAAAUUUUUAGUAGUCUUAUGUAUGGGUUGUAAACACUUGUUAAACUACUUUUGAAAUGUUUUAACUUAGUCAUUAGUUGACUAAGGUUGACGUACUUAU